rnacentral:rRNA from 1 species
ACUCCUACGGGAGGCAGCAGUGGGGAAUCUUGGACAAUGGGGGAAACCCUGAUCCAGCCAUGCCGCGUGAGCGAUGAAGGCCUUAGGGUUGUAAAGCUCUUUCGCCUGGGAAGAUAAUGACGGUACCAGGUAAAGAAGCCCCGGCUAACUCCGUGCCAGCAGCCGCGGUAAUACGGAGGGGGCUAGCGUUGUUCGGAAUUACUGGGCGUAAAGCGCGCGUAGGCGGACUGGAAAGUUGGGGGUGAAAUCCCGGGGCUCAACCCCGGAACUGCCUCCAAAACUGUCAGUCUUGAGGUCGAGAGAGGUGAGUGGAAUUCCGAGUGUAGAGGUGAAAUUCGUAGAUAUUCGGAGGAACACCAGUGGCGAAGGCGGCUCACUGGCUCGAACCUGACGCUGAGGUGCGAAAGUGUGGGGAGCAAACAGGAUUAGAAACCCGAGUAGUCC